GGCGGGCCCGGCGCGGCGCGCGCGGCGGCUGCAGGGGGACGUGAGGCCCGUGAGGUCCAUCUCAGGGAUGUGGCGUCUGCAAGGGGCUCACAGCAACAGCCAGCUCCCUGCUUGUCUGGAUGCUCUGGUGGUAAACCAUUGGAUAUUUCUGCCACUGCUCUUCAAUUUGCAUCACACCUUCUCCUGCCAGACUUUCUGCAGCCUUAAAAGACCCAUUGAAGUUGAGCUCAUGGAUAGCUCUUUCUGUACUUAAAGAAGAGAGAAGUGUCUGUAUUCCCACCUAAUUUGGAGUGCAAAGAGCCUUACUCAUAUUAUUUAAUGGGGAAGUUCAGCAAGAGGAAAUGAGAAUGGAGUCCUCCUCCAAUCCCAUCCAAAUCCCAGGCAAAUAUGCAAUCAGGCUUUGUGCUAACUAUGCCUUGUCCAGUGGCAGGAGACGUGGACAGGAAUCCUUUGGGGAUUGGCAGCCCAGGCUGUCCCAUUCUGGUUUUGUGCACUUCAUCAAAGCAGUGUAGGUGAAACAGCAACUUCAUCCAGGCACUGAAUCUGUGCAAGGUUUGUGUAGAAACUGAUCUGCUGAAUGUGCUGUGCAAACAUUAUCAUAUAAAGCCCUUCCAAGCAGGGUAGAGGGAAGAAAUCCAGUCCCUAUAAGAGAGGCCCUUUUUACAAGGGCCAUUAGGGACAGGAGAAUGGGGGAUGGAUUCAAACUAAAAGAGAGCAGACUUAGGAUAGAUAUUAAAAAUAAAUUCUUCACUGUGAAGGUGGGGAGGCACUAGCACAGGUUGCCCAGAGAAGCUGUGGCUGCCCCAUCCCUGGCAGUGUUUAAGGCCAGGUUGGAUGGGCCUCUGAGCAACCUGGUCUAGUGGAAGGUGUCCCUGCCCACGGCAGAGGGUUGGAACUAGUCAAAUUUUGAUGUCCCUUCCGACCCAAACCAUUCUAUGAUUCUAUGAAACUUCUUUGUAAAUACCUAAACAUUGAUAUCCAUUCAUGCUUUUGUGCCUCCAGUGGGAUGUGACAGCAGAAUGAGGUUGUUAGAUGUUAAAAGGUUUUGCAUCAACUGUCUAAAUCUCACAUAAUUUUUGAGCUAUAUACCUGCACUCUUUUGGAGGUUUGUGCAGUGCCGGGCUGAAUUUUCAGAGCAAGCCAAAUCAGUCCUGUGAAAAACUAAGUUCAUAGACUUCGAGGAGUCUCUUGAUUAGCUAUAAGAGCAAGAAGUGAAUGUUAUUAAUAAAUCAGCUAAAACCCAUUUUUGGCAAUACAGCUAUCAUUUACUUCUUGUAGCUUGUUUGGUAGUGUUCUAAUUAGUCAAAUCUCAACAUAAACACUGCCUUAUCUAGAAACAUUUCUGUGAGCAUUUAGAGCAAGAAACUUAAAACUAUGAGGGCUAUAUAAAUCAGUCUUUUAUUAAAAUAAAAUCAUUAUAAGCUUGAUUAUAGUAAUAUUAUUAUAAAGCUAUAAAUACUACAGUGAUCUAUCCUCAUAUAUAACAAAAAUUAUAAUAAAUUUAAAUUAUAACAAAUAGUUACAAUUUAACUAGUGUGGGAGUCCCCCAGAAGCUUCUUCCUAAUAAUGUUAAAAUGGUUUGUUCAAGAUUAUUUAAUUCU